GAGAGAGAGGUUUAACGUCCACUCGACACAAACUAGGUCAUUUCGGGACUAACACAUGGUUCAAUUUUAUUUCAAUAAUUCGCUUGCGCGUAGAGGUCUUUAGCAGUGGGAGGAAAGCGGAGGACCCGGAGAAAACCCACGAGGUUGGGCAAGAGAGCAUGCAGCACAAAAGGUUCAAAGUAGGACCGUAUGCCAAGUAUAUUUGAAUUAAAACACAAAAUUUUCCAUAACGUUUAUUUAACCAACUUAAAGAGAAGCACGAACUAUCGUAACCGGAAGAAAAAAAUACGAAUGCAAGUCAACAAUAAAAUGCGUCCAUCUUCGGUCAAAUUGAUUUAAGAUUUCCCUUCGUUGCAUCAGACCAUUAGUUUAAAAUUAUGUAGGAAAAGAAGUCACGUAGAAUUUCGUUAAUGGGGGAUUGUGGUGAGAUUAGAGAAAGAUCUGCCAGAUCUCACUAUAACAGUUAAAAAAAAGAUAAAGUAAAGGGAAUACGCUGAAAAUGCCAGUCAAAUUGCUCCAUUCUGAACCGAGAUAUUAGCUUUUUCAAUUUUAGGCUAGCCUCGAUCAUCGUUACAGAAGUCGUACGACAAAAAAUGAAAUCUCGAUUAUCCAAUUUUAUAUUCCAAUUCGUUAAAUAUCGUAGGCUAGCGACGGCAUCGCGAGUUGAUUAUAGUCAGGAUGAGAGUCUAAACUUAUCAAUCUGAUUCAAACACAGAUCCUAUUUCGUUUCGAUUUUUAUAGUUCAAAAUUUUGUUUUACUUGUCUUUAUUACACUAGGAUCUGGAAGAGCUGUUAUCAUCGACGUGUUCUGAAUAGUGUGAAGUUUUAGCCAAUGAAACGGUCUGUUACGGUGAGCUUUAGGCGUGUUUUGAACGGAGCUGUGGUUAAUCCACUAGUAACAUCAAUGCUGAUUGGUUAAUCAAAUGUCUGACGUCAUAGGUAUGACCUCUGACGUGACAUAUCGCAACAACCAGUCAGAUCUUCAUGUAGUGUAGGCCAUCGAAAGUAUAUUAAAAAUGCGAAACGAAAUACAGAUCUGUAUUUUAAUCAGAUUGUUAACUUGUUUAUUUUUCUGUUGUUAUUUAUAUUACAGACGAUAAAGACUCCAACGUAACCAAGAAAAGUCGUCAUGACAACUCGCCCCAAAAAUCAGACAAGACGGUGUUAAUAGUAGGAACAGUACUAGGAAGUCUAUGUUUGAUUAUUGUCAUCAUCACUAUAACAAUUAUUCUCUUAAGGAAGUGGAAAAAUAAGAAAGAUAAUGCCGUUAUAAAAAGAGCUACGCCAGACUCCAACCCAUCUUCUGUUCACGAUCAGCAUUACUAUCACCCCAUAGAACCCAACCAUGUGGGUGUUAUGGGUGAUGUUGAAACCGACAGCCAGGUAGAUAACUACAACCAUAUUGGUGAUAUUAAAACCAGCAACCAGGUAGAUACCAGUACUUACAACCAUAUUGGUGAUAUUAAAACCGACAGUCAGGCAGAUACUUACAACCAUAUUGGUGAUAUUAAACCCAGUAGCCAGGCAGAUACUUACAACCAUAUUGGUGAUAUUAAACCCAGCAACCAGGUAGAUACCAGUACUUACAACCAUAUUGGUGAUAUUAAAACCGGCAACCAGGUAGAUACCAGUACUUACAACCAUAUUGGUGAUAUUAAAACCGGCAACCAGGCAGAUACUUACAACCAUAUCGGUGAUAUUAAAACCAACAGCCAGGUAGAUACUUACAACCAUAUUGGUGAUAUUAAACCCAGUAGCCAGGCGGAUACUUACAACCACAUUGGUGAUAUUAAAACCGGCAACCAGGCAGAUACUUACAACCAUAUCGGUGAUUUUAAAACGAGCAACCCAGGAGAUACCAGCAACUACGACCAUAUUGGUGAUAAUAAAACCGCCAACCCGGCAGAUACCAGCAACUACGACCAGUAGUUCCCGUACCAUUAAAAUUUAGUGGGAUCUCGCGUUUCUUAUAUUUCUGAGUUUUAAUUUUGAUAUGAUUUUUAAUAUCGUGUUAUAUUUAUAUAAUUAGAGGAUUUAAACUCCUUUAUCAACUCCUUUGAUUUGUGUCAAAAUACAAUUGGGUUGAUAAAGCAGGGCUUAUAGGAAUAAUUGUUUCUAGAGCAGAUUAAAGAUGCAUUAUGUAAGAUGUAAAUAAAGAGAGAGUGAGUGAGAGAGAGAGAGAAAGAGAGAGAGAGAGAGAUGGGGUUUAACGUCCACUCGACACAAACUAGGUCAUUUCGGGACUAACAUAUGGUUUAAUUUUAUUUCAAUAAUUCGCUUGCGCGUAGGGGGUUUAGCAGUGGGAGGAAACCGGAGGACCCGGAGAAAACCCACGAGGUUGGACAGGCGACCCUACUCCUUGUCACGUACAAGAGAGAGAGAAGAGAGAGAGAGAGAGAGAGAGAGAGAGAGGGGGAGGUAACAUCCACUCGUUACUAAUAUAUGGUUAAAUAUUUUCUUUCAAUAAUUCGCUUGCGCAUAGGGAUUUGUAGCAGUUGUGGGAGAUAAAGCAGGGAAUCGAAACUACGCCACUUGACUCAAUGGUAGACCGUCUGAUACAACGAGCACGCGUUAACCAUUCGGCCACCCAUUCUCCUUUAGAUAAAGAGCUGACCGUUCUUGCUAUACGUAUCAACGAUAAAGCCAAAUUAAUAUUUUGAAAAUGUAAUUCAAAUAAUUUUAAUCUGAGCAAAGUUCUAAAUGUUGAAAAAUGUAGCGUAGAUUGGUCAUUAUUGUAGCAACCGUACUGGACAAACGAGACUAUCAGUGUUAAAGUUCAAUUUUUUAGAUCUUGCGGGCGAUUAAUUCCAUUUUAAUCUCUAUCAUUGAACGGUCUAUAGUGCGUUGAUGGGCUGACCAUGUUAAUAAAUGUCUAAAUAAUAGUUUAUAUAACAUUUGAAGCCAUAGAUUUGUACUAGGCAGAUUUUGCUCUUACAUAAUGCAUCUUUAAGCGAAAGUCUCGUUGUUUUUGGCAAACUGCGUCGACAGUUGAAACAAAAUCGGUUAUAUAGACUUAGAUUCCAAAGUUUAGUUUUGAUACAAAUCGAAGAGAUUUCGCCAUUUCAUGAACAUAAAACUGUUUUGUUGAUGAUUUUUUUUUUAUAUUACAAGAUUACAAUUUCGUUCCUUUGACAUAUUUUAUUAAAGUUAUUCUAUUUAAGUUUUUUUAAGUUAUAUGUACCUGAUCAGACAUGGUAGUUGUGUAGUAAUAAUAUUUUCAGUUACCUGAUAGUAGUGAUAGUAAAAGUACUUCGAUCAGUCAGGAGGUAAUUGGUGGUUGACUAGCUAACCGGAUGUGGACAGUUUGCUUGAAACGUCUUAUACUGGACGUGGGCGUGGCCUGCCUGUGUUUUUGUUCCCCCUAAACGAUCGCCAUUCUUCCUCUAUAAAUUGCAAACAAGUAUGGCGGUCGUUUAGGGCGUUACCUUUUUUUAUUUAAUUAUUUCUGUAGUUUUGUAAUCGGAGUUCAGCUUUAAGGAGCAUGUCGAUUUACCUUGAGCCAUGUUGAGUUAUUUUGAGCUAUGUUAAAGUUAUUAUAUUUAAGGAGCAUGUUGAUUUACUUUGAGCUAUUUUGAGUUAUUUUGGACUAUGUUAAAGUUAUUAUAUUUAAGGUGCAUGUUGAUUUACCUUGAGCUAUGUUGAGUUAUUUUGAGCUAUGUUAAAGUUAUUAUAUUUAAGGAGCAUGUUGAUUUACCUUGAGCUAUGUUGAGUUAUUUUGGACUAUGUUAAAGUUAUUAUAUUUAAGAAAUUAUAUUUAAGUUAUUAUAUUUAAGGAAUAGGUUGAUUUAUUUUAAGUGAGAUCUGUUGGGGGUUAGGGGUAAAUAUGGUUUGAAUACUUUAUUUUUUGGGGGCUAAUGUUUAUUUUUUGUUCAAUUUGUUUUUUUGCUAUCUGAAGAUCAAUCUAGAUCGCAUCAAUCCAAUUUGAUUCAACGUCUGUAUAUUGUCAUGCUUUAAUGCGAAUAAACUAAUAUUAUUAUUAUUAUUAUUA